rnacentral:rRNA from 1 species
CCUAUACAUGCAAGUCGAGCGAACAGACGAAGGAAGCUUGCUUCCUCUGACGUUAGCGGCGGACGGGUGAGUAACACGUGGAUAACCUACCUAUAAGACUGGGAUAACUUCGGGAAACCGGAGCUAAUACCGGAUAAUAUAUUGAACCGCAUGGUUCAAUAGUGAAAGACGGUUUUGCUGUCACUUAUAGAUGGAUCCGCGCCGCAUUAGCUAGUUGGUAAGGUAACGGCUUACCAAGGCAACGAUGCGUAGCCGACCUGAGAGGGUGAUCGGCCACACUGGAACUGAGACACGGUCCAGACUCCUACGGGAGGCAGCAGUAGGGAAUCUUCCGCAAUGGGCGAAAGCCUGACGGAGCAACGCCGCGUGAGUGAUGAAGGUCUUCGGAUCGUAAAACUCUGUUAUUAGGGAAGAACAAAUGUGUAAGUAACUAUGCACGUCUUGACGGUACCUAAUCAGAAAGCCACGGCUAACUACGUGCCAGCAGCCGCGGUAAUACGUAGGUGGCAAGCGUUAUCCGGAAUUAUUGGGCGUAAAGCGCGCGUAGGCGGUUUUUUAAGUCUGAUGUGAAAGCCCACGGCUCAACCGUGGAGGGUCAUUGGAAACUGGAAAACUUGAGUGCAGAAGAGGAAAGUGGAAUUCCAUGUGUAGCGGUGAAAUGCGCAG